AUUUUUGAGGCCUAUUUGAGUUUUUUUGUGAAAGCUUCAUUGGAGCUUCAAUGGUGUGUUCGUCGAAUAAGAUGAAGAAAUGAAGAGAAAAAAUAGUUGUUGGUGGUGUAUUGCUAGAUAUGGUAGACAUACAAAAUCCAAUGAUUACUAUUUUGAUAAAAGAAUCAAAUGUCAAGAUUAAAAGAUUUAUGUGUUAAUAAAUUAACAGAAGGGACCAAUGUGACAUUUAAUUAAUUAAGCCAAAUUAUUUUUGUUUUGUUAAAAAAUAAUUAUUAAAUCUCUUGUAAUUAAAGAAGGUUGUUAGGGUUACUUUUGUCAUUGUGAAAUAUACAUCUUUCUUUUUUAUUACUUUUUAUCUUUCUUUACUUCCACUUUCCUUUAUACCAAACAACUAAAUAAUCAUUUCACUUUUU
rnacentral:lncRNA from 1 species